UCGAGAAUCUUCUGCAAUGGGGGCAACCCUGACAGAGCGACGCCGCGUGGAGGAUGAAGGCCCUCGGGUUGUAAACUCCUGUCACAUGUUAAGAAUCGCACGGGUUCACCUGUGCGUUGACUAAGGCAUGAGAGGAAGUCACGGCUAACUUCGUGCCAGCAGCCGCGGUAAGACGAAGGUGGCAAGCGUUAUUCGGAUUUACUGGGCAUAAAGCGCGCGUAGGCGGCUUGGCAAGUCGGGGGUGAAAGCCCGCAGCUCAACUGCGGAACUGCCUUCGAUACUGCCGGGCUUGAGGGCGGGAGGGGUGAUUGGAACUCCAGGUGUAGCGGUGAAAUGCGUAGAUAUCUGGAGGAACACCGGAGGCGAAGGCGAAUCACUGGACCGCAUCUGACGCUGAGGCGCGAAAGCUAGGGGAGCAAACAGGAUUAGAUACCCCCGUAGUCC
rnacentral:rRNA from 1 species